GUUGGGUGUGGUGGUACACAUCUGUAAUCCCAGCUACUGGGGAGGUUGAGGCAGGAGGAUCUCAAGUUCAAUGCCAGUCUAGGAAAUAUGGUGAGACCAUGCCUCAA
rnacentral:sRNA from 1 species